ensembl:lncRNA
UGUGUGUGUGUGUGUGUGAGAGAGAGUGAGGCAGAGAGAGAGAGAACGCGCGCUGAGCCAAGUGACGUGAGAAAACGGCAUAUCGAGUCAUAUCAUGAUUUUUAAACGUUUUAAACGUUAAUGUUGUUUAUUGAGAAACCUACUCCCCUUUCUCCCAGCUGAUACUAGUGAAACGACUCAACCCCAGGAAGGUUGGAGAAGCCGCCUUUGAACCUCCCACAACUGUGAUAGCCCUCGCUCGCACAGCCGUACUCAUUGACUCUCAACCCCGGUGGAUUCACACCAGUAGACUGAAACAGUGCCUGACCAGAACCAGCUCAUCUGAGAAUGGAUGAAAAUUCACAAUCAAGCAGCCCUUAGGGGGCCUCCUCUUGUCUCACCUAAGCACAUACACAUAUAGAUUUUCUUGUAUUAGCCUUGAGAACACACACAAGUAACAAGCAACAACUCAUGCCCUGUCUGAU